GCCACCGCCACCUUCCCGGCAGGCGCCACGGGGAAGGGGCGCGGCGGCGGCGCUGCUGGGCGGCGGCGGGCGGGGGGGCCGGCGGCCGAGCCGAGGCGGGGGCGCGGCCCGCGGGGCCGGGACCCCCUCGCUGUGGCGGCGGGCUGUCGCCGUGCCCCUGCCGCGGCCGGCCGCCCCCUGCCAGCCGGCUGCCAGCGCCGCGCCCUGUGGUGGCCGUUGGGAGGGGAGCCCGGCGUUUCACACUCUCUGCCCCGCCGGGAGGUACAGAGAAAAGUAGAAACGCUCCUUCCAGAAAGGCACAAAUGGGACUGCCAAGGUGGCGCGGCGCAUCUGUGUCCUGCGAGCACCUGUGCUGUCACCCCCGCGAGGGAGGCUCGCCGCGGUGGCCUUGUCUGCUGUCCAGGCCUUGGCCUGCGCUGGAUGGUGAGGCUCCGGCUGAGCGCACCUGGCUGCGUCCCGAGGAGGCCCGAGGGGUCCGGUCCCGUGGCUGUAAGCGUUGUGCAGCUCCUGCCUGAAGUGGCUUCGCUUCAGACAAGAUGAGCUCUAGGUGUGAUUAGAGACUAGAAGCAAAUGUACCCGUUAGCCCUUACAUCGCUGUCGCCUUCUAGCAGGCUAUUGCUGAUACCAUUAUAGCCCACAGUACCCAGGAUAUUUGAAGCAUGCAAACAAGAAGCUGAACUAAGGGCCAUUUGUCAGAUAAGUUUGUCUUGUUUGCUAAUAUGGUUAUGUAUGUUCACAAGCAGCUGGGAGGAAGAGCCACCGAAAGGCCUAGAAUUACAGUGAAUCUAAAAGCAAGCACUUUCUGGCAACAUUAAAAACUGAGACAUUUAACUAGAAAGUUUUGGAACAACUCUGCGUAGAAGAGACUCCCUCACAUGAAUCACUUAAAAAGGGAAAUAGUCUGCAAGGACAUCAGUGAAUUCAUCAGUACAGGAACUUCCUCCCUCAACCUUAUUGAUGCAAGGACUUAGUAAACUAGCAGACUAGUGUUAUCAGUGCCAUCUGAUACUGAGCAUUUUUCUCCCCAUCAUCAGAAGCAUCGCAGAUCUGGACUGGAGAAGAAAAGCAAUACCAUGGAGGGUAUACCAAAUACAGGGAAACGCCACAUAGUGCAUAAAAUUCACGAACAAGAGAAAAAAAGCCUUUGAAAGCAUUCAUCUGAAGUUUGACGUGAAAAGUACACAAGACUACAAAAACAGCAGUAACUGGUCAGACUAAAGCUUCCUGAAAUCAACUAACCAGGCCCAAGCACUCUAGGAUCAAAGACUUAUCAUUCAGAUGAGGAACUUUUUGACAUCCCCUUAGAAGAAAUAGAAAAGUUGCCCAGCCUGGUGUGUGAAGACCUGAAGUUCCUCUUCUUUGUGACCAAAUUCACUGCAGCAGAAAUAUCCUCACAUCAGCUGUUUCCUGAUGCCAACAAAUGAUUCAGAUGGCACAUUCAACCUGCCUGCCAGGAACAGCCAGGGGAAAAACAGCAAAUACAUAAUGCUCUCCGGGGACCUGACCCUCAUCUUUUCCAGAGGAUUAAUACACAAGAAAAUACACAAGCACUGGUCAGAUUUUGGCCCCCAGUUUCUCAUUUCAGUGCCUGAUACAUGAUCCUUCAAAGGAAAGAAAAGCCUGCACUUGCACAAAUGAACUGGUCUGCCGACAACUCAGCUGGUAGGAUGCAGCCUAGAGCAACAGCACUGUUCACCUCAGGAGAAUCGGAGGAACAGAUUUCUGGAAAUCCGUUUGCGACAAUAGAAGGUUUUGGUCAUAGGGAGCCUCUUCCUGAUAACUAUGUACUGGAAGUCGACUUGCAACACAGGAGAAGCUGCCCUGGUGUGGUGUAUUCAUGGAGUUUCCAGUCAUUCCUCCUGCCGUAGGAACGGAACUGAGUUUUAACCAUAAAUCCAGUAUCCUGGACAACAUGUCUUUCAUGUUGAGAGUGGCAUUUAGAGGCUGCGUGUUCACUGAUGUUUUCAGUUUAACAUAUUUCCCUCUGUCUCUGUCUGCAACAAGGAACUAUUUGCUUUCCAGAAAAUAAUAAUCCAAAAAUGGAGGUUAUCCUUAUCCAGCAUUCCCUUCUCUGCCAGACACUUACGCAGUUACCUUAAUUAGUAGAAGAUGUGGUAUCCAUGUGGCUGAAUAUAUAAGCCUUGAUAAUAAUCUCCCAUAGUUCUAUGUGCUGUGUAACUGGAUUCAAAGUGUUUAUUUCUAUAUUUUACAGUCCUCCUUCUUCUACCCUCAGUCACUCAAAGAAGUGUGAUAUCUCUGUGACAAACUGGCACUUAAUCUGACUCACUAGACUGUGCAAAUCCAUUUGUAAAUAAAUGGAAUUCAGACAGGAUGCAACCAUUAUGCAGGAGUAAUUUAGAUGUUUUAUUUUGCCUAGAAGGGAAAUUAUCUCGAGGGCUAUAAAAAAAAGGGAAGUGGUGCUCACAUGUCCUAACAUUGUCACUCCGAAUCCUAGCGAGGCUCCCCUCUAACAUAAAACAAAACAGCACUUACAUAUCGACAUGAUCUACUUGGAGUGUUGAAAUAAGAGACCCUUCUGUACGUAACUAGAUGGGAAAAUAUUGAUUGUUAUGUGUUUUGCACCUUCACACUAGGAAUGGGAGAGCCAUUAUUCUUAUUAUUCUGGUGAAGAGUUUUGAGAAUUUGCCUGCGGCUGAGGCUUGGCGUAUUUAUUCUUCACCUUUUAUUGGUCUUGUUUUAAUUUAGUCUAAACAAAUAGUUGUUAGUUUAUAAUUACUGGAGAGACAAUCUAAGUCUAGGACACCGUGACUGUUGAGCAGGCAGAGAUUUCCCCCAAGUUACCUCUACCCUUGGAAACUUUUGCGAGCAGAGCUCGUUACCAUUGUUAUACGGAAAAAUGCUGUUAGUAGAGAUACCAGUGUACCACUGUGGUGAAAUCACCCCUCUUCCAGUAAUAAAACAAGCUGUUACAGGAAAAGAAUGGUAUUGCUAAUGUUGUUGUUUACACGAUAAUCUUCAGCAGAUGGAAACCUUUCAGUUUGGGGUCACACACCUGUAUCCUUCACCAUUAUCAGCUGAGCUAAAAGAAGUCGAGUUAGCCUUCUCCUGCCAUCGGCAGCUACUGCCCCGGAUUUCAGUGGCAGUUGCGUGAGAAAUCUGACCGCAGCCCUGAAUGGUUAUUUGCCAGCUGCCUUCUCCCUUGGCAUUCAUGCACUGCCUUGUGUGAAGGCUGUUACUGGAAAUGCAUUUACUGCACCCCGUCAUUGCAAAGGAGUGUAGCAGGAUAAUAGGCUCCUGCUACAUGUUGCUGUUGUCUUUGUCAGGUGGAAGAUUGUACUAUGUUUGUUGUCAGACUACUGUAAAAUGGCAUAUGUUACUAAUCUAAAUAAUUAACAUGAGAACAUAUGUUAGACACUGCAUCAUUUCUGAGGAAGGCUUCCUAUAAAGUUAGAAUUUUGUGUGCUUCUG